CAAGUCGAACGAGGUAGCAAUACCUAGUGGCGAACGGCGGAGUAAUACAUAAACAACGUGCCCCGAAGACUGGGAUAUACGGCUGAAAAGCUGGGCAAUACCGGAUGUGGCAGCGUCUCGGCAUCGGGAUGCUAUCAAAUGGUUUUUCGCUUUGGGAGCGGUUUAUGGCCUAUCAGGUAGUUGGUGGGGUAAUGGCCUACCAAGCCGACGACGGGUAGCGGGUCUGAGAGGAUGAUCCGCUCGAGUGGGACUGAGACACGGCCCACACACCUACGGGUGGCAGCAGUUGGGAAUCUUGCACAAUGGGGGAAACCCUGAUGCAGCGACGCCGCGUGGAGGAUGACGGAUCUAGGUCUGUAAACUCCUUUUUCAUGGAAAGACUUAGGACGGUACCAUGAGAAUAAGCACCGGCUAACUACGUGCCAGCAGCCGCGGUAAGACGUAGGGUGCAAGCGUUGUCCGGAUUUACUGGGCGUAAAGAGCGCGUAGGCGGCUCGUUAAGUGUGAAGCUAAAUCUCCAGGCUCAACCUGGAAACUAUUUCGCAUACUGGCGAGCUAGAGGGAUGCAGAGGUUUGUGGAAUUCCUGGUGUAGCGGUGAAAUGCGUUGAUAUCAGGAGGAACACCCAUGGCGAAGGCAGCAAACUGGGCAUCAUCUGACGCUGAGGCGCGAAAGCGUGGGUAGCAAACAGGAUUAGAUACCCUGGUAGUCCACGCCCUAAACGAUGGAUACUAGGCGUAAGAGGUAUCGACCCCUCUUGUGCCGCAGCUAACGCAUUAAGUAUCCCGCCUGGGGAGUACGGCCGCAAGGUUGAAACUCAAAUGAAUUGACGGGGACCCGCACAAGCGGUGGAGCAUGUGGAUUAAUUC
rnacentral:rRNA from 1 species